GGAGGAAGAGCUCAGCUGGGAGAGCAUCUGCCUUACAAGCAGAGGGUCGGCGGUUCGAGCCCGUCAUCCUCCACCA
rnacentral:tRNA from 1 species